UCUAUGAUAGCUCAGCUGAUAGAGCAUCCGCCCGGUAUGCGGAGGGUCGCCGGUUCGAUUCCGGCUCGCGGCG
rnacentral:tRNA from 1 species